rnacentral:rRNA from 1 species
CGAUGANGCCCUUCGGGNUGGAUUAGUGGCGAACGGGUGANNNNCACGUGGGCAAUCUGCCCUUCACUCUGGGACAAGCCCUGGAAACGGGGUCUAAUACCGGAUAACACCUGCCCGGGCAUCUGGGUGGGUUAAAAGCUCCGGCGGUGAAGGAUGAGCCCGCGGCCUAUCAGCUUGUUGGUGAGGUAGUGGCUCACCAAGGCGACGACGGGUAGCCGGCCUGAGAGGGCGACCGGCCACACUGGGACUGAGACACGGCCCAGACUCNUACGGGAGGCAGCAGUGGGGAAUAUUGCACAAUGGGCGAAAGCCUGAUGCAGCGACGCCGCGUGAGGGAUGACGGCCUUCGGGUUGUAAACCUCUUUCAGCAGGGAAGAAGCGAAAGUGACGGUACCUGCAGAAGAAGCGCCGGCUAACUACGUGCCAGCAGCCGCGGUAAUACGUAGGGCGCAAGCGUUGUCCGGAAUUAUUGGGCGUAAAGAGCUCGUAGGCGGCUUGUCACGUCGGGUGUGAAAGCCCGGGGCUUAACCCCGGGUCUGCAUUCGAUACGGGCUAGCUAGAGUGUGGUAGGGGAGAUCGGAAUUCCUGGUGUAGCGGUGAAAUGCGCAGAUAUCAGGAGGAACACCGGUGGCGAAGGCGGAUCUCUGGGCCAUUACUGACGCUGAGGAGCGAAAGCGUGGGGAGCGAACAGGAUUAGAUACCCUGGUAGUCCACGCCGUAANCGGUGGGAACUAGGUGUUGGCGACAUUCCACGUCGUCGGUGCCGCAGCUAACGCAUUAAGUUCCCCGCCUGGGGAGUACGGCCGCAAGGCUAAAAACUCAAAGGAAUUGACGGGGGCCCNGCACAAGCAGCGGAGCAUGNGGNCUUAAUUCNGACGCAACCGCGAAAAANCCUUACCAAGGGCUUGGACAUACACC